CUGUUGUCUGCUGCCGGUGCAGGUCGUUGAGUCGAGAAGAGGAGAGUUUGCCGACUGCCCGACACAAACAUUUUUUGCAAUUUGCAAUCGACAUCUAGGUCUCGCUCGGUCCUGGUCCUUCCUGGUCGACAAAUAUUCAAAUUUGUCGAAUUUUUCAGGAGUUUUGAGCAAAGAUGAGUGAGUGCCACAGCCACAAAGCUGAUCGAGUAAAAGCAAAUCUUUAAAAAAUUCAAAAGGAGUAAAAGGACUAAAAGGAUCACCACACACCUGACAAAAUAACCAUGCUAAAUUCUUGAUGAUGAAGCCAUAUUUUCGGAGCCCGAGUUUGUGUGAUGGCCUGACGAGCCUACGUUCAGUACAGAUCAGCCAAGAAGCCCUUUGUUGAAACUCCCCUGUACCUGAUUUCACUACAUAUUUUAACCUGGACUCAUGAUAAUUUUGAGGGGACUGAAAUUUUUUUGGCCAUUUGUCAAAACACGCCGGGUAUAAGCUUGACAAACUUGGUGCGCACUGACGAAAACGGUGCAUAGUUUGUAUUUUGGUUAUGCUGCUAAAUUGUUGUGUAAUAGCAAAAUUUUAAGGACUCUUUAUUGAUGUAGUCAAAUCAAGUCUUUGCAACAAUAGAAGCAAUUUUUGGCAAUUAUUGUAAAUUUAACAAACCAUUGUUGUACAGACUUGAUUUGACUAUAUCAUUAGGAAGUCCUUAACUGAAUGAAUGCCACAAGUUUUUUGUAUCUCAAUAAUAAAUUUUGAUUAAUUGC